UUUCCGUAGGUGAACCUGCGGAAGGAUCAUUAUCGUGAUAUCCAUACCAACCCUUGUGAACUGUGAUGUUGUGGCUUGUUGGCACGUCUCUUUCGAGUGUGUCGGCGGUCGCAUGUCCAUUCUAUUCUACACCCGUUUGAACCGCUUCUGAGCACCGCGAUAGUUUGCACACCCUGUGUGUGCGAGUGUAUUGCGUCUUGAAAGCGACUAAAACUCUUGACAGUGGAUAUCUUGGCUCUC
rnacentral:misc_RNA from 1 species